UUCACAUGUUUCCUACAGGUCUGCCCCAAUUUGCACAGCUGGGCUUUCUCUGAGAGCCAUUUCACUGCAGGAGCUCCCAGUGAUAACAACAAUAACCACAAGCCUCGCUUCUUUCUUCCAUUCCGUCUAAUGAAGCCUCAAGUCUCUGGAGUCAGCCUAAACUGCUCUCAAGCGCUCUACUGCGUCCAUCCUCAAAGUAAACUGUGAGACCUUGGCAAACGAAGACUGCGAGUUUUGAGCAAUCCCACAGCUGACUCGGCCUCCGGCACUUCACACUGUUUACACUGGGCCCUCUCCUUGGCCUCCCAUGGCAGGAUCUUUGCUCAGGCCUUUUCGCCUAGGAGGUGGCUUAUGAAUCUGGCUCCACUCAGAGCUGUGUUACUCUCCAAAUAGAACCUGAAUGAUCAUUCCAAUUCUGCUACUCUCCAGCUGAUGAAGAGUCUUUGCUUGGAAGGUGGGAGAGUGAGAAGGAAAAGACCUCUGUAGCAUCCAAUCUGUCCAUCUUACAACUGACAUCGGGAAGAAUCUGAUUUGCAAAGAGAAAGCUCCAGCUCUUGUAUUGCAUCCAGACAGGGACCAUUAGGGAGAUUGGAAGGAGAAGAUGCUCAGUUUCCAGAGACUUUCAAUGAGGCUGGAGAAGGCACUGAAAUGGAGUUGCAAAUUCUCUACCAGAUUUCAUUUUGUGAUUACCUAAGGCAAUGGUGAGAAACGGAUACUUCACGCCAAUUAAACUGCAGUACUGUGUUUUCUAGUCACUUCACAUGUAAUAAAUUUAUAUCUACUCCACCCUGUGAUUUUCUUCUCCUUCAGAAUUAAAAUCCUAGCUCUUCUUCAUUUUCAAAAUGUGGAUACUUCUGGAAAAGAAAAAAAAAAUUCAUCUCUUCCUUCCCCUUCAUUGAGAAUCCUUUCUUGCUAUAAUCCAAAGAGAAAAGGGCAAUAGCCGUGUUGGAAAUCAGUUUUGAGUGUUGGAGAUUUUCCAAAGAUGAAACCGAACAGCUUGAGGGAUUGGGGAGUAAAUUUCAGUUGUGUCAUUAAGUUGCUGACAGUACACAAGAAAAUAGAAGCUACCAACUGGAAUAUGGAGCUUGAAGUAGCUUUUAGCCCAGCUCCGUGGGCUAUGUAGGUAGUAUUGUUUGAAGUCUCUGGAAAAGGCAGGAAAAAGCCAAUCUGUAGAAUAAAGGAUAGAGUUUUAGAGACAAAUUUUUCUUUCUUUUUUUCCUUCUCUCCAUGUCUUCCUCCCUCACCCACCCACUCCCUCAUUUCCUCCUUUUCUUUCUUUAUGCUUCCAAGACACAGCUAUUUAAAACCUGUGGACCAUUUGUAUGAAAUUUGAUGGGUACCUUGUUUGGUUCUAGAAUGAGUGUUCCUUUAAACUCCAUAGCAUGGAUCCC